rnacentral:rRNA from 1 species
CCUACGGGAGGCAGCAGUGGGGAAUUUUGGACAAUGGGGGCAACCCUGAUCCAGCCAUUCCGCGUGAGUGAAGAAGGCCUUCGGGUUGUAAAGCUCUUUCGCAAGGGAAGAAAACUUAUGAUCGAAUAAAUCAUGAGGUUGACGGUACCUUGAUAAGAAGCACCGGCUAACUACGUGCCAGCAGCCGCGGUAAUACGUAGGGUGCGAGCGUUAAUCGGAAUUACUGGGCGUAAAGCGUGCGCAGGCGGUUUUGUAAGUCGGAUGUGAAAUCCCCGGGCUCAACCUGGGAACUGCGUUCGAAACUGCAAGGCUAGAGUGUGUCAGAGGGGGGUAGAAUUCCACGUGUAGCAGUGAAAUGCGUAGAGAUGUGGAGGAAUACCAAUGGCGAAGGCAGCCCCCUGGGAUAACACUGACGCUCAUGCACGAAAGCGUGGGGAGCAAACAGGAUUAGAUACCCUGGUAGUCCACGCCCUAAACGAUGUCAACUAGUUGUUGGUAGAGUAAAAUCUAUGAGUAACGUAGCUAACGCGUGAAGUUGACCGCCUGGGGGAGGUACGGUCGCGAAGUAAGUUAAACGUUAAAGUUAAAGUUAGUUACGGUUCGUGAGAGUUGCGACGGACGACGACGAGGGAGGAGG